rnacentral:rRNA from 1 species
UACGAAGGGGGCUAGCGUUGCUCGGAAUCACUGGGCGUAAAGCGCACGUAGGCGGAUCUUUAAGUCAGGGGUGAAAUCCUGGAGCUCAACUCCAGAACUGCCUUUGAUACUGGGGAUCUCGAGUCCGGAAGAGGUGAGUGGAACUCCGAGUGAGAGGUGAAAUUCGUAGAUAUUCGGAAGAACACCAGUGGCGAAGGCGGCUCACUGGUCCGGUACUGGACGCUGAGGUGCGAAAG